GACGAACGCUGGCGGCGUGCUUAACACAUGCAAGUCGAACGGAAAGGCCCUGCUUUUGUGGGGUGCUCGAGUGGCGAACGGGUGAGUAACACGUGAGUAACCUGCCCUUGACUUUGGGAUAACUUCAGGAAACUGGGGCUCAUACCGGAUAGGAGCUCCUGCUGCAUGGUGGGGGUUGGAAAGUUUCGGCGGUUGGGGAUGGACUCGCGGCUUAUCAGCUUGUUGGUGGGGUAGUGGCUUACCAAGGCAUUGACGGGUAGCCGGCCUGAGAGGGUGACCGGCCACAUUGGGACUGAGGUACUGCCCAGACUGCUACGGGAGGCAGCAGUGGGGAAUAUUGCACAAUGGGCGGAAGCCUGAUGCAGCAACGCCGCGUGCGGGAUGACGGCCUGCGGGUUGUAAACCGCUUUCGCCUGUGACGAAGCGUGAGUGACGGUAAUGGGUAAAGAAGCACCGGCUAACUACGUG
rnacentral:rRNA from 1 species